ACGAAGGGGGCUAGCGUUGUUCGGAAUUACUGGGCGUAAAGGGCGCGUAGGCGGCGUGUCAAGUCAGGCGUGAAAGCCCCGGGCUCAACCUGGGAACUGCAUCCGAUACGGCGGGACUGGAGUGUGGAGAGGUUGGUGGAAUUCCCAGUGUAGAGGUGAAAUUCGUAGAUAUUGGGAAGAACACCGGUGGCGAAGGCGGCCAACUGGACCACAACUGACGCUGAGGCGCGAAAGCGUGGGGAGCAAACAGGA
rnacentral:rRNA from 1 species